rnacentral:rRNA from 1 species
UUACGGCUGCAGUAUCUUGACUGUGCUAAGGUAGCAUAAUAAUUUGCUUUUUAAUUGGAAGAUGGGAUAAACGAUUAAUCUAUGAAAACUUUUAUAUUAUUGAAUAAAAAUAAUUUAAAGUUAAAGUAAAAAUUCUUUAAUUUAUUAAAAAGACGAUAAGACCCUAAAAGCUUUAUUUCUCAAUAUGUUUUUAAUUUUAUAUAUAAUUUAAACAUUUUUUAGAUUUUUAACUGGGGUAGUUAUAUUAUUUUUAUUAUUUAAAAUUAGGCUAAUAGGUUAUAAGAACCUUAAAAUUAGGGUGUUGUUUUAGUUACUUUAGGGAUAACAGCGUAAUAAUUUUGGAGAGAACAUAUCUAUAAAAUUGAUUGCGACCUCGAUGUUGAAUUAAUUAAUUCUUAUUAAAGCAGUUUUUAAUAAAGAAGGCUUGUUCAGCCUUUAAUAUAUUACAUGAUCUGGUUUCAACCGGA